UUUGAGUUGUCUAAUCUGGUAUACCACGAACAAGCUUCUCUAGUCAGACUCUUUUGGAACAGCUGCAUUCUGAGAUUCUCGUCCUCUGCAUAAGAUCCAAGUUCUCCAAUGAAUACCUUCUUUGUGUAAGAAUCUCUUAACCCGUCGUACUUUUCGAAGUCAGGAGUCUUGAACUUCUCUAGAUAAUGCAUACCAGGGAAUAUACAAAGGUCAGCAUAUGAGACACUCUCGUGUACUCCAAUUCCUUUGAUAGAACGAAGGGUUUCUUCCAUUUGAAGAACCUUCUUCUUGAUUGCACCAGUGUCUGGAUCUCCUUUGAGAUAGGUGUUUUCAGGGUUUUUGUCUGUAAUUUGAAAUUUCGAAUUUGUUUUAUCCGAACCUUAGGCUCCUCCCUGUGUAGAGGAUUCUGUAUGUG
rnacentral:lncRNA from 1 species